GUAAUACACUGAACUUUUGCCAAUUGCAGAGUUCGAGUGUGUGGAAGGCAAAGUGGAACUAUCCUAUAUAUUCUAAAAGGCUUGGACAAGUUUUUGGACAAGUUAGAGGGUGAUUGGAAAGCUAAAAGCAAGAAAGUGCAUUGAUCUGGCGAAAUCAAUGUUUUCCUGCUUGCUGUACCGGUACAGCCAUCACCUUGUACCGGUACAGACUGGCAGAAAAGUGGCAGCAAGGGUCUUUUGGUCAUUUCACAUUCUAAUACUUAUCUACCUGACCCAGCUCGACUUCUGGAGCACCUUGGAAGGUAGUNGCAAGCUGGACUACCUUGAGUAGGUCCCUGUGAAUGAAAGGAAAGUGCUAAAGGGAAUUGGACAGUAAUGAAUGAUUACCCGUUACAGUGUAUAGUAGUUACUUACACAUUUAUGCAUAUGUUCAUGCUUAUCAUAGUUGCUAUGCUUCUAUUAUUCAGUUGACUCAUUACUGUUGAAACUAUGAUUACAUGUUGCUUACAUGCUCAUUACCUGUUAGCAUUGCAUAAUUAUUUAUCAUGCAUUUACUGUUUUCGCUUUCAUUUAGUACAUCGUGAGCCUAGUGGUGUAAUUCGCCGAGCUGGCGGCUUACCCACUGGGAACUAUUGUUAAUAGUUCUCACGCCCUUUUUAUGGUUGUUUUUACAGAGCCAUCUACAGGCGAGGCUAGGGAUCGUGGCAAGGGAGUCGCGUCUAGCUAGACAUUGCUAGGGGCAUGCUAGUCGAUCACCUUGCUACUCGGGCUACGGCCGAGGGUGAUGUCCCUAUGUAUAGAGAGACUACCAUUGUACCUAUUUUUGUAUACCCCGUGAUGUAUAUUUACUGUUGAACCAGAUGUUUUGGUUGUGAUACUUCUUCCUGUGGUUGAGAUUUUUGGAUUGUAUACUCUUUGUUCUUUUACUAAUAGUAUAUCGACUUGUACAUUGCUCUGAUAUCAGGAUAGGACUUUCUUUGUUUUACUUACUAUCGACUUGCUUUCUUCGUAGAUGCCUUAUAUACUGCAGGUGUAUGGCGGGUCUGUGCACGUACCGGAUAUGCUUCCGCUGGUACCCGGGCGUGACACAGGAUUUGUACCGGUGCACUUUUUCGUGUACCGGUACACAAUACAGUGCGAGCUGUUUUUGUAGAGGGGUGUAUUUGCAAUUAUUGCUAACUCUAUAUAACCUACCCCAGCCCCCUUUGAGUGCCCUUUUGAGUCCUAACCAGUGAAGAAUUAGGGUAAGGCUUCCUCCACUUGUUUGAUCUCCAGUUUUAAUGGAUUUUUUGCAUGUUUUGAUCUCCUCCUCUUUGUUUUUUCUUGCUUCUUGUUGGGUUCCACCAUGGGAGAAGCUUGGAUUUUGGGAUUGGAGCUUGAUAGAGGAUCAACCUUCAACCCUAGGUCACCUUGAGCUUUGUUUGGAGCUUCCCUUGAGGUUAGUAUCAUGAUUCUUCCGUUAGAUUCUUGAUUUGGAGGAUUUUUGAUGUUGGAACCCUAGAUUUGGAACUUAGGGUUUAUUAAGGGGAUUUUUGAUUAGAGGCUUUUGAAGCCCAAUUGAUCUCAUUAAAACUUUUGUUUAGGUUGGUUUGGAAGGACUCUAACUCCCAUUUGGAGAUCGAGAGAGUUUCCUUCGCAUUCGGUGAGUUUUCUUCACCUUUGCUUGAGUUGCUUAAUGUUUGAGCAAUUAAUUGUUCGUAACGUUCGUGUAUCUCUCUUUUCUAUACCUUUAGGGUGCUAGGAGAGUAGUGGGCAACCUCGUUCGGCGAAACGAAGAGUUGCGAGAGUCACGGUAGGUUUGACUUCAUGAAACAGGGGAGAAAUAUCCCCUGUGUGUUUUAUAUUUGUCGUAUCGUCGAGAUGCAUGCAUAUUCAUACUAGAUAGAAUUUUUAUGAAUUUUAGAAUACUUAAAAUGCAUGCAGUAUGUAUCAUGAAAAUUCAACUCUAUAUAGUAGAGCCUUAUGUGGAUUAUACAUGCAUGUGAGUAGUAUUCUUUCUUGUGGAUUGGAAACAUGUCUCAUAUGAUGAAAAUGACUCGAUUUAUGUAUUCUUUAGCACUAAACUCAUGUUUGGACUUAGUGGAUAAAAGUGCUAUAAAGGGGCACCCGACUUAGUAAACUAUGAAACUGCAACAUAGAGACAUAGUAAUAGGCCAUUUGGACAUCGACUAUAUUUCAUGUUUUAGACAUGAUGACAUAGUGAUAAGCCUUUGAGAUAUUUACUACAUUUCAUAUUUUAGACAUGAUGACUUGAGACUCAAACAGACUUUUACGCUUGCUUGCCAUUGUGCUCAUUCGCACAGCCUUGUGAGGGUCGCUCCCCACAAGCCGGCACUCCGGAGAUAGCCAUCGCGACACAUGCUCGCCCGUGCGGGAUUGGGCGCCGAAAUGGGAUGCCGUGGGAGAGGCUCAUUCUUAGAGUGGGGAUGUUGACUACCACGGGGCCAUUAGGCACGGCGCAAGCCGGACUACCCACGAGUAGGUCCUAUGAGAUUUGGAACAAGUGGAACCAAUUUGUAAAUGAACAAUUUGACAAGUUAGCAAACAUUGACAAUUUACUAGUUACCUGUGGACAUCAUAAUAGUUGCACUUAUGCAUAUUUAUAGUACAGUAGUAUUCUUACUUAUGCAAAUUCAUGCUAAGUGGAGAUAUCGUGUUGUAGCAAACUUUCAUGUUUAUUUGCUUAUUGUUUAUAUUGCUUUACUCGUACUUACCCCUUUUCAGUUUUUGGGCCUAGUGGCGUAUUUCACUGAAAUCAGUAAUUGCCCACUAGAAACUAUUAUUUAAUAGUUCUCACGCCCUCUGUUUUAUGGUUUUCUUUCAGAGCCUUCAGCACCGGUAGAGGCACGGGAUCGCGGCAAAGGGGUCGCAUAGCUAGAUAGCAAGGAUUUACAUUUUGCUUAGGUGAUUUUCUCUCUUUUUGGAUUAUUGUUGUGAGAGAGAGAGGUUUUGUAUCCAUGUAUAGAGACAACCUAUGUACUAUUCUUAGCACUUGUAUUUGGAUUUUCAGUUGUACUACUUUAUAGUUUUUUUUUAGUGGACUUUAGCCUUUCGCUUAUUUCUCUAUUGUAGAUUAUAGUUGUUCUCUGCUCUGAUACUUCUAGAUGUCUUUCUACUAUUACUUUAUUUACCGUUUUAUUGUAGACGCCUUAUACGUUUUAGACAUAUGGCGGGUCUGGGCACGUGCCGGACAGGCUUCCGCUGGGUCCCAGGGCGUGACAGAUUAAUUUGGUAUCAGAGCCUAUGGUUGAGUCUUAAUGGACCUAGCAAAUCUUAGGCCGGUUGGACUAUAGAAAAUAGGCUCGUGAGAGACGAAAUCUAUUUGAUUUGUAAGCGAAAGUAUCAUGAUUGGGUAUUCUUGAUAACUCUAAAAAGUGGAGUUAAAUUGAAGUGUAUAGCUUCUAACUUCGCGGAGGGUUACGUUGGCGGCCGACAACGUAACAUCGGGAGUUAGUAGUGAAGAACACUUUCUUACUUUCACAUGAUUUGGGUAUUAUCUUCUUGAGUGGGGAUUCGAUAACGUGGGUUUACUAACUUGCGCUUUUAUGAUGUUGUAGUGAGAUGCCGAUGACACACUCUCAAUCUGCUGGAGCGGACAAUACGGCACACCUUAAGGAGGUCGAGAUCUUCGCUACCUCCGGAUCCAGCGAGGUCCGUGAGUUGAGGAGCCAGCUUGCAGCCCUCACCGACUUGGUAGUGCAGCAGACAGCGGCGGCUCAGCAGCAGGCUGAUGCGGCAUGCCGUCAGGAGGUGCGGAUAAAGUGGCUCGAGGACCUUCUUCUACAGCAGGCAGCUUCUAGAGAGGCUUCGGUUCCUUCGCCGCCUGCACCUGUUGGGGACGUCGCACCGAGGGCGUCAUCACCCGCACCCGGAUCUUCGCGUGCGGCGCCCGUAGUUGUGCCUCGGGAAGAGGACUUUGUGGCACCACCUGUUUAGGUGCCUCUGGCGGGGAUAGUUUUUCCCGUAAUAGUCGAGGGGGUAGAGCGGGAUCGACUUAUAGAGCGUCUCAAUGAGUUCAGGAGGUGUAGCCCUCGGAUCUUCGACGGCGAGAAGGUCGACCAUUGGAUCGUGGAAAAGUGGUUGAUGCACAUAGAGAAGCUCUUCUGCGACACCUUCGUGGAGGAGAGGAACCGAGUUUGGCUCGCCAUAUACCACUUGGACGGCGAGGCCUACCGUUGGUGGUUGGACAUCCAGGAGAACCCCAACAUUGAUCUUGCGGCCAUUACUUGGAAGAAGUUCAAGGAGCUUCUAUUGGCGCACUACUUUCCGGACAUCGUCAAGAGAAAAAUGGAGCAGGACUUGCGCAACUUGCGCCAGGGAGACCGGACAGUAGCCGAGUUCGAGAGGAAGUUUUCUCGGCUUCUACAUUGCGUGCCUUUCGUCGUGCGGGACGACGAGGACAAGAUCCGCAUCUUCGAGCUAGGAUUGUGACCGUCGAUCUUUCGGUUUGUGCAAUCCUCUAACCUCCAAACCUACCGGGAGGUGGUGAAUCGCGCGCUCAUUGUGAAGAGCGGCGCGACAGAUGUUCAGAAGCGGCGAGAAGGCAUGGACAAGGGUAAGGGCAAAAGGUCCGCGGCUGAGGGUGCAAGUCAGACGCACUUUAGGAGGCCGCCGAAGCACCCUAGGAGCCAGCAGCGUGGGCGCGGCUCGACAGGGCAGCGAGAAGGAUCUGAUUGACGCCGACCUCCCCAGUGCGUGAUCUGUGGUGGUCGUCAUAUUCCACCGCAGUGUCCGCAGCGGGGAGGGAGGUGUUUUUUUGUGUGGCUAGGAGGGCCACUUUCGGACCGAGUGCCCGAGGGGUUCGUCACCGACACCGUCGACUGCAUCGGCACCGGCUCUACCAGCCGCCAGUUAGGGGACUCCAUCGGCACAGUACCAGCCUGAACGGUCACCCGUCCCGCAACAGAGCGAGGGAUCUCGACAGGCCCCGAGUGGGCGCAUGUACGCCGCUCAGACCGAGGAGGCGGCAGCAGCCGAGAAUGUGGUUGCAGGUAUCAUUUUAUUAGAUGGCAUUCGAGUUCGUGCAUUAUUUGAUACCGGUGCAUCACAUUCAUUCAUAGAUCGGCUGUUUGCCGAGUUGCAUGGCAUCUAUUUGGUUUCUUUGUUGCAUCCGGGACAGGUUGUAGUACCCGACUAUAUUUUGGAUAUUUGAGAGUUUUGCCCCAGUUGCCCUAUUCGAGUAGGGGAUUGGAUUAUGCCCGUGGAUUUGCUAGCCUUGUGCAAGCUGGGGGAGUUUGAUGUGGUCCUAGGCAUGGAUUGGUUAACCAAGUACUAUGCCACGAUCGAUUGCAAGAAUCGCACGGUUACUUUUAGAGAACCAGGGCAGACUGAGGUUAUUUUUAGAGGAUGCCAGAGUUCGCUGUUUGCGAUGACGAUCAGCUCGUCUCGAGCUAGGCAGCUGAUCAGCAGAGGUUGUAUAGCCUAUUUGGCUAGUGUUGUUCUGAGGGGCGAUGAUGACACCCCUAGGAUUGAGGAUAUCCCGAUGGUGUGGGAGUUUCAGGAUGUGUUUCCAGCUGAGCUACCAGGUAUGCCACCUGAUAGGGAGAUUGAGUUUGUAGUAGAUCUCGUCCCUAGGACUACCCCAAUCUCAAAGGCGCCCUAUAGGAUGGCACCAACAGAGCUGAAGGAGCUGAGGGUACAGCUGUAGGAUUUGUUGGAUAAAGACUUCAUUCGACCGAGCGUCUUGCCUUAGGGAGCACCAGUCUUGUUCGUCAAGAAGAAGGACGGAUCACUACGCCUAUGUGUGGAUUAUCGUGAAUUUAAUAAAGUUACGAUCAAGAAUAAGUAUCCGUUGCCGAGAAUUGACGACUUAUUUUAUCAGCUUCAAGGAUCGAGUGUGUAUUCCAAGAUCGACUUACAGUUGGGAUACCACCAGUUAAAGAUCAAAUCCGAGGAUGUAUCGAAGACGGCUUUUAGAACACGGUAUGGACAUUAUGAGUUCACAGUUAUGCCGUUCGGGCUUACUAAUGCCCGGCAGCUUUUAUGGAUCUAAUGAACCGUAUUUUUAAGCCCUAUCUAGACAGGUUCGUCGUGGUGUUCAUCGAUGACAUCUUGGUUUAUUCCCGAAGUGAUGCAGAUCAUGAGGAACAUUUGAAGCUUGUACUUCAAAUACUUCGGGAAAAGGAGCUUUAUGCCAAGUUGAAAAAGUGUGAAUUUUGGCUUCAGGAGGUGGCAUUCCUUGAACACUUGAUUUCGGGAUCGGGUAUAGCCGUGGAUCCUAAGAAGAUUGAGGCUAUCAAGGAUUGGCCGAGAUCGACGAGCGUCACGGAGAUACGGAGCUUUCUUGGAUAAGCCAGUUACUACCGGAGAUUUGUUGAGGGGUUCGCUAAGUUAUCUACUCCCCUCACGAGACUCACGCAUAAAGGCAUCAAAUUUAUUUGGAAUGAUACUUGUGAAAGGAGCUUCCAAGAGUUGAAGCAAAGAUUUACGACCUUCCCGAUCCUAACCCUGCCGGUUGCUGGAGCAGAGUAUGUGGUUUUUAGCGAUGCUUCAUUUAAUGGAUUGGGUUGCGUUUUGAUGCAGGAUGGCAAGGUGAUCGCGUAUGCUUCUCGCCAAUUGAAGGAAUAUGAAAGGAAUUAUCCUACACAUGAUUUGGAGUUGGCGGCCGUAGUCUUUGCAUUAAAGCUAUGGCGCUACUAUCUUUAUGGCGAGCAGUGUGAAGUAUACACGGAUCACAAGAGCUUGAAGUAUUUAUUCACUCAGAAGGAGCUGAACUUGAGGCAGCGCAGAUGGUUAGAGCUGCUCAAGGAUUAUGAUCUGACGAUUCUUUACUACCCAAGCAAGGCUAAUCUAGUGGCGGAUGCGCUAAGUUGGAAAUCGACGGAAAACUUAGCGAUGCAUGUUGUUGCUCAACCGCAGUUGAUCGAGCAGAUGAAGCGGUUGGAGUUGGAGGUGGUUACUCCUGACACGCCCUUGAGGUUGAUGACCUUGGUAGUGCAACCUACAUUGUUGAAUAGAAUUAAAGAAAAGUAAGUUUUCGAUGUGGAAUUGCGAAAGAUUGGAGAUAGAAUGGUCAAAUGGUUGCAUCGGCGAUUUCUUUGUGGAUGAUCAAGGGUUGAUGCAUUUUUGCGGAAGGUUAUGUGUACCAGCGGAUUCAGGAAUUAAAAAAGAUAUUCUUUAAGAGGCACACCGGGCACCCUAUGCUAUACAUCCGGGAAGUACCAAGAUGUACAAGGACUUAAAGUUGCUCUACUGGUGGCUCGGGAUGAAAAAGGAUGUUGGCGAGUUUGUAGCUCGUUGUCUAACUUGCUAACAAGUAAAGAGGGGAGCACCGAUUGCCCGCGGAAAAACUUUAGAGUUUGCCAAUUCCCGUGUGGAAAUGGAAGAAGAUCACCAUGGAUUUUGUGAUGGGAUUGCCUCGCUCUCACGCCGGGGAGGAUGCUAUUUGGGUGAUCGUGGAUAGGUUGGCGAAAUCGGUGCACUUCAUACCUAUUUAUACGACUUGGACUGGAGAGAAGCUCGCACAAGUGUACCUUGAUGAAAUUGUGCGACUUCACGGAGUGCCUACCUCGAUUGUAUCUGAUUGAGACAUCCGGUUCGUGUCUCACUUUUGGAGGAGUCUGCAGGACGCCUUAGGCACUCGAUUGGAUUUCAGCACUGCUUUCCACCCUAAGAGUGAUGGGCAGUCGGAGCGCACUAUUCAGACUUUAGAGAAUAUGCUCCGAGCAUGUGUGAUAGACUUCGAGGGAGGAUGGUCGCAGCAUCUACCGAUGGUAGAGUUUGCUUAUAACAAUAGUUAUCAAGCAAGCAUCAAGAUGGCACUCUUCGAAGCACUUUAUGGAUGGAAGUGUAGAUCGCCACUUCAUUGGAGUGAAGUUGGCGAGAGAUUGGCUUUAGGCCCUGAUGUGCUCCACGAAGCUGAGGACAAGGUUCGUAUUGCUCAGAGGAGCGACUUUUGACGGCACAAAGUAGACAGAGGAGCUACGCCGAUCGACGACGGCGAGACUUGGAGUUCCAAGUUGGAGAAAAUAUUUUCUUGAAGGUCUCACCGACUAGAGGGAUCAGGAGAUUCGGGAUUCGGGGUAAGUUGAGCCCCCGAUUUAUUGGACCGUAUGAGAUUUUGGAGCGUGUAGGUCCGGUAACGUAUCGACUUACUCUACCACCGAACCUAUCGGGUGUAUACAACGUCUUUUAUGUAUCGGUCCUUCGGAAGUACAGUCGACCCGGCUCAUGUUUUGGAUGCUACACCUAUAGAGUUGAGGGAUGAUUUGAGUUUUGAGGAGCAACCCGUGAGGAUCUUGACUCGCGAGGUGCGGAAGCUGCGAAAUCGGGAUAUUCCGUAUGUAAAGGUUCUUUGGAGCAACCACGAGGAGUGAGAGGCCACGCGGGACAUGGAGAGCGCCUUGCAGGGGCGCUAUCCCCAUCUCUUUCAGAUAGAGUCUUGAGGUACGUUGCUUUUGAGUUUCGCGGACGAAACUCCUUUUUAGGAGGGGUGAAUGUAACACACUGGACCUUUGCAAAUUGCAAGAUUCGACUGUUUGAUCUGUGUUCCGAGCUUUUCCAGAUAUUCUGGAUGGUCGUAGAUAAUGCUCCGACCCAUGGCUCGCAUCCCGAGAAUUGAGGUUUAAAACUUAGCAUCAAAAUCCAAAAGAUUGGAUUUUUAGGUCUGCUCUCGGGUUGCCUCAGUAGGGCUGUGUACCGGUACAGCCUUGAUGGUUGUACCGGUACAGAAAGUGUACCGGUACACCUUGAUAGUUGUACCGGUACAAAUGUGGUGAAUGACCAACCCGAGGCUCGGAUUUGCUGUCUCGCAGGAUUUGUACCGGUACACUUUUCCGUGUACCGGUACACAACGCAGUGCGAGCUAUUUUUGUGGAGGGGUGUAUUUGCAAUUAUUGCUAACUCUAUAUAACCCACCCCAGCCCUCUUUGAGUGCUCUUUCGAGCCCUAACUAGUGAUGAUUUAGGGUAAGUCUUCCUCCACUUGUUUGAUCUCCAUUUUUGAUAGAUUUUUUGCAUGUUUUGAUCUCCUCCUCUUGUUUUUCCUAGCUUCUUGUUGGGUUCCACCAUGGGAGACGCUUGAAUUUCGGGAUUGGAGCUUGAUAGAGGAUCAACCUUCAACCCUAGGUCACCUUGAGCUUCGUUUGGAGCUUCCCUUGAGGUUAGUAUCAUGAUUCUUCCAUUAGAUUUUUGAUUUGGAGGAUUUUUGAUGUUGGAACCCUAGAUUUGGAACUUAGGGUUUAUUAUGAGGAUUUUUGAUUAGAGACUUUUAAAGCCCAAUUGAUCUCAUUAGAAUCUUUGUUUAGGUUGGUUUGGAUGGACUCUAGCUCCCAUUUGGAGAUCGUGAGAGUUUCCUUCAUAUUCAGUGAGUUUUCUUCACCUUUGCUUGAGUUGCUUAACGUUUGAGCAAUUAAUUGUUCGUAACAUUCGUGUAUCUCUCUUUUCUAUGUCUUUAGGGUACUAGGAGAGUAGUGGGCAACCUCGUUCGGCGAAACGAAGGGUUGCGAGAGUCACGGUGGGUUUGACUUCAUGAAACAGGGGAGAAAUAUCCCCUAUGUGUUUGAUACUUGUCGUAUCGUCGAGAUGCAUGCAUAUUCAUGCUAGGUAGAAUUUUUAUGAAUUUUAGAAUACUUAAAAUGCAUGCGUUAUGUAUCAUGAAAAUUCAACUGUAUAUAGUAGAGCCUUAUGUAGAUUAUAUAUGCAUGUGAGUAGUAUUCUUUCUUGUGGAUUGGAAACAUGUCUCGUAUGAUGAAAAUGACUCGAUUUAUGUAUUCUUGAGCACUAAACUCAUGUUUGGACUUAGUGGACAAAAGUGCCAUAAAGGGGCACCCGACUUAGUAAACUCUGAAACUGCAAUAUAGAGACGUAGUAAUAGGCCAUUUGGGCAUCGACUAUAUUUCAUGUUUUAGACAUGAUGACAUAGUGAUAGGCCUUUGAGAUAUUUGCCACAUUCCAUGUUUUAGACAUGAUGACUUGAGACUCGAGACGGACUUUUACGCUUGCUUGCCAUUGUGUUCAUUCGCACAUGCUUGUGAGGGUCGCUCCCCACAAGCCGGCACUCUGAAGAUAGCCAUCGCGACACAUGCUCGCCCGUGCGGGAUUGGGUUCCGAAAUAGGAUGCCGUGGCGGAGGCUCAUUCCUAGAGUGGGGAUGUUGACUACCACGGGGCCAUUAGGCACGGCGCAAGCCGGACUACCCACGAGUAGAUCCUAUGAGAUUUGGAACAAGUGGAACCAAUUUGUAAAUGAACAAUUUGACAAGUUAGCAAACAUUGACAAUUUACUAGUUACCUGUGGACAUCAUAGUAGUUGCACUUAUGCAUUUUAUGGUACAGUAGCAUUCUUACUUAUGCAAAUUCAUGCUAAGUAGAGAUAUCAUGUUGUAGUAAACUUUCAUGUUUAUUUGCUUAUUGUUCAUAUUGCUUUACUCGUACUUACCCAUUUUCAGCUUUUGGGCCUAGUGCCGCAUUUCACUGAAGUUAAUAAUUGCCCACUGGGAACUAUUAUUUAAUAGUUCUUACGCCCUCUGUUUUAUGGUUUUCUUUCAGAGCCUUCAGCACCGGUGGAGGCACGGGAUCGCGGCAAAGGGGUCGCAUAGCUAGAUAGCAAGGAUUUACAUUUUGUUUAGGUGGUUUUCUCGUAUCCAUGUAUAGAGACCACCUAUGUACUAUUCUUAGCACUUGUAUUUGGAUUUUCAGUUGUACUACUUUAUAGUUUUUUUUUAGUGGACUUUAGCCUUUCGCUUUUUUCUCUAUUGUAGAUUCUAGUUGUUCUCUGCUUUGAUACAUCUAGAUGUCUUUCUACUAUUGCUUUAUUUACCGUUUUAUUGUAGACGCCUUAUACGUUUUAGACGUAUGGCGGGUCUGGGCACGUGCCGGACAGGCUUCCGCUGGGUCCCGAGGCGUGACACGCCUUCUAUGUUCUUAACAUAUGGCGGGUCUGGACACGCACUGGGCAGGCUUUCGCUAGGGCCGGGCCGUGAUAGAGAGAGAGAGAGAAGUGAUCUUGAGGAUGUAUUAAGUUGAACAAAAGAGACCAUGAAGAAAGGCGGGCAGAAUUAGUAACUUCACAAUUGUCAUUUCUUGAAUGAAUCAUUUUUUUUUUUCAUAUCAUUGUUCUUUGGUAUAUACUUAUUUGUUUCUCAAUAUAUGUUUUUUUAGUUAUGUCUUCUCCGACUUUGCCACAUCCUCAUUCAUCUCAACAAUCAACAUCUAUUGUUGGCACUAAUGAACUGUGUGACACUCAAGGGAAAAAUGAAAUAGCUGAUAAUAAUGAUAUGGAUGAGAUUGAAAAUAAACUAGAAAGAAAGAAAUUUGUAAAAAAUUUUCUAAGGUUUGGGAAUCUUUUAAAGAAAGAGAAGUUCUUGAGAAUAAAGUCUUGUUAAAAAAACUCAAAUGCAAAUUUUGUAUAAAGAAGUAUUCAAAAUCAAAGAUGGGCACCACCUCACAACUAACAAGGCAUAUGAAUGAGCGUUUUUACUUGAAAAAUCAGCCUAAAGUUCAAUGUUUAAUCAAUUUUGCACCAAGUGAAGCUCUAAAGAAUUUAGAAUUUUCGCCUUCUACAUUGGCCAUAUUGCAUCUUACGACACUACUUUUAAAAUCAAUGAAUAAUGGUUGAGAUAAUUCUAGUUCAUAAAUAUCCAUUUACGAUGGUUGAGCACACAUGGUUCAAUAUAUUGUGCAAGGUAUUGAAUCCUAAUUUUCGAAAGGUGAUUAGAAACACUAUAAAAAAUGAAUACUUAAAAGUCUAUGAAACUGAAAAAGAGAAAUUGAAAAAAGUACUAAAGAAUGUUAAUAAAAUAUCACUUAUAUGUGUUUGUUGGAUGCCCAAGCAAAACAAUUCGGUAUAUGGCUUUGACUGCUCACUAUAUAGAUUUAGAAUGGCAAUUGUAAAAGCAUGUCAUUAAUUUUAUUGAGCUAGAGCCACCACACACUGGUUUGGUUAUCUCUGAUGCUAUUUAUGAUUGCUUGUUAGAUUGAGGGGAUUCAAAAUAAAGUAUCUACAAUCACCUUAGAUAAUGCUUCAAGCAAUGAUGUAGUAGCUAGAAGUUUAAUAUUGAAUUCCAAAGGAGAAACACAAAGAAGAAACAAGCUUCCACUUCAAGGGUAUAUUCUUUUAUAUUAGAUGUUGUGCACAUGUCUUAAACUAGAUGGUUCUAGGGAUGUCAACGGGUUGGAUUCGGGGCGGAUUUUUGAAUACCCGUACCCGAACCACACUACCAAAUUCGAAACUCGAACCCGAAUCCGGAACAAACCCGAACCCGACCAAAAACCUGAAACCCGAUUCUAAACACAGAAACUCGAACCCGAAAAUAAUAUUUAUCAAAUUUCGAAACAUAUUAUAUAAAAAACUAAAGUUUCAAAAUACAUAUUCAAAUACAAUAUUAAACAUUCAUGCCAUUCAAAAUACACAUUUAAAUACAAUAUUAAACAUUCAUGCCAUAUAAUAACGAUAUCCAAAUAUGAAUAAUACAAACUCAAAUAGUUAAAAACAAUAAUACAAUUUUCAAAUGUCUAAUAUAAAUGCACAAUUUUUAAAUAGACCCAUACUAUGAUAAUAUUAUAUAUUAUAUAUAUAUAUAUAUAUAUAUAUAUAUAUAUAUUAUAUAUAUAUAUAUAUAUAUAUAUAUAUAUAACAGGGUUGCUGUGCUCUCAGAGCACGGAGGCCUCCAUGCUCCUGAGCCGUUUUUGAUGAUGAAAUUUUCGAAUCGACGAUCGGCUCUGUUCGACUUGAUCUUAGCGCAUUUGAAGUUUGUAGAAAAUAAUUUUUACGAUUUUUUGAUAUAUUUACCCUAGUGAUCGAAAGGAUUCAAAAUACUAUAAUUUUUAUGGUUGACAAUUUGCCGUUUUCAAGUUUAACGGCGUUGUAGAAGUAUUCAAAUCAGAUGAAUUUUGAUACAAAAUUCUUAUACUAUCUACAACAAGAUCAAAUAUUUCUGAUCAAAAAUUUUAGUGCUAUAUCACCACUUUUUAUAGAAUUUUUAUUUUCAGCCGCUUAAAAUUAUUGAUUUGAAUCCUUUCGAUUGCUAGGUAAAUGAUAUCAAAAAUCGCAAAAAUUAUUUUCUAAAAACUUCAAAUACGCUAGAUCAAGUUUAACGGAGCCGAUCAUCGAUUCGGAAACUCCAUCAUCGAAAACGGCUUAGGAGCACGGAGGCCUUCAUGCUCCUGAGAGCACAGCAGCCCUGCCUCUCUCUUCUCUCUCUCUCUCUCUCUUCUCUCUCUCUCUCUCUCUCUAUAUAUAUAUACUAUAUAUAAUAUAUAUAUAUAGGGUCCGGCUACUAUAUCUAUCGAUAGCACAGAGGGCUCGUGCUACCAAGUUGUUUUCGAUGAUGCGGCUUCCAAAUCGACGAUCGGCUCCGUUAAACUUGAUCUACACUAUUGAAAGUAUUUGGAAACUAAAUUUCAGAUUUUUUCGAUAUCAUUUGACUAGUGAUCAAAAGAUCUCAAAGUUGAUAAUUUUAUGGGCCGAUGUGGUGUGUUUGAGAGUUUAACGGUGUAAAACAAUCCAAAUCCGAUGAAAAUUUUAUAGAAAAUUCUUUUUACUAUUUAGAGUGAGAUCAGUAUAUCUGAUCUUAAAUUUAAAUCUUUUAUCAUCAUUUUUAUGAGAUUUUUAUUUUCAGCCGUUCAAUUUUAAACUACUUGUUUGAUAGGUAAAUGAUAUCGAAAAAUUAUGAAAUUUAGUUUCUAAAUACUUUUAAUAGUGUAGAUCAAGUCUAACGGAGCCGAUCGUCGAUUUGGAAGCCGCAUCAUCGAAAACAACUUGGUAGCACGGAGUGCUGCGUACUACCGAUAGUAUAGCAGCCUAGCUAUUGGUGCUAUUAGGUUUUCGGCCCUUCGAUGAAGGCAUGUGUGAUUAGGAUGAUAGUAGUCUCCUAAGGUUAAGUAGGUGGGUGGUUGAAUAUAUGAUAUAACAGGUGAAAAUGAUUAAAGGAAUAGAUCUAACGACGGAAAACUUAAUAGCGAGAAGUGCUUGGUGCUAUUAAUAACAUAGUAGCCAGAUUCUCUCUCUCUCUCCCUAUAUAUAUAUAUAUAUAUAUAGGCUGGGGCUACUAUACUUAUAUGAAUAUACAGCCCUUUGUACUCAUAAAUUUUCAGCCGUUCAGAUGAAAAAAUAUGCGGUUAUGAUGAAAGUGGUUACGGUUAGGUUGAUAGUGGGCCCCCUGAGGUUGAGUGGGUGGUUGGUUGAAUAGUAUAAUCUAACGGGUGAAAAUGAUUAAAGGGUAGAUCCAACGGGCAAAAACUUAUGAGUACAAGAGGCUCUAUACUCAUAAAAGUAUAGUAGUCGGACUAUAUAUAUAUAUAGUAGAGCUAUUAUGCUAUUGGAAGCAUGGAGGAUCUGGUGCUUUCGAUUUUUUGGCUCUUAUAUCAACCUCUUUGAUCAUUUCUAUCAUUUGAAUUAAAAUUAUUGUUGUGAGGACUACUCAAUCCUAGGGAGGGCUGUAAUCAUUCUAACCGUACAAUUCUUGAUCUAAUGAUCAAAAAAUCGGAAACAUAAAAUCUUUUAUACUUCCAAUAUAUAUAUAUAGAGAGAGAGUUGAGUUAGAAUACUCUCAGAAGCACAAAGGGGGUAGUACUUUUGAGUUUUUAGCCUUUGGAUUGAGAGAUGUAGGGUUGGGAUGAUGAUGGUAGGUGGUAGGUAGUGGUAGGUGGAAUAGUGUUUGAUUCAAGGGCUAUUAGUAAUCAAGGAGUAGAUCCAAGAGGUAGAAACUUAGAAGCACCAAGAGAUUGAUGCUUCUAAAAGUGCUCUAGCUCAAUUCUAUAUAUGUGUGUGUGUGUGUGUGUGUGUGUGUGUGUGUGUGUGAGGCUACUAUGCUUUUGGAAGCACAGAUCCUUCAGUACUUCCAGGUCAUUUUCGAUGUGUGUGUGUGUGUGUGUGUGUGUGUGUGUGUGAGAGGCUACUAUGCUUUUCGAAGCACAGAGCCUUCCNUGGGUGGUUGGUUGAAUAGUAUAAUCUAAUGGUUAAAAAUGAUCCGAGAAGUAGAUCUAAUGGUAAAAAACUUACAAGCACCAAGUGCUUGGUGCGUUUACAAGCACCAUAGCUGGACUCUACACACACACACACACACACACACACACUCUCAAAGAGGGAGGGAAGAGUGGCCAAUUCAAACUCAAGUGGAGAAGAGGAAAAUAAGCCAAUUCAAACUCAAGUGGCCAAUUGUAUAUAUAUAUAUAUAUAGAAAGUGGAGCUGAAAUACUAUUGAUAGUAUGAGAAUAGAAUUUUCUAUGAACUUUUUGACCACUAGAUACAUAGGGUUUCGUGGGGGUUGGUGGAAUACUGUUUAUAUACUAUUAAUAGUAUACUAGCUCAACCCUCUUUCUCUAUAUGUAUAGUAGGACUACUGUACUAUUAUGAGUAUAGGAUCUUUCGUACUCAUAAGUCAUUUUCGAUGAUAGAUCUUCCGAAUUGAUGAUUCAUACCGUUAAACAUGAUCUAGAGCAUUUGAAAUUUCUAGAAACCAAAUUUCAUAAUUUUUUAAAAUUAUAAUAAAGUCCAUCAAACAUAAAAAUGAAUAGGUCAAAAUCAAACGACUUCCUAAAAUUAGAGGAUUGAAGUUUUCAAUUUAAGAUCGGAGUUAUUGAUCUUUAUCUAGAUAAUGAAUAGAACAUUUUAUCAAAAGUUUAACCAAUUUCGAUUCUUUUAACUGUUAACUAGCAACUAUCUCAUAUCGGCCGUUAAAAGUUAUCAACAUUGAGAUAUUUUGAUCAUAUGCAAAUGAUAUCGAAAAAUUAUAAAAUUUGGUUUCUAGAAGUUUAAAUGCUCUAGAUAAUGUUUAACGGUAUUUAUUGUUCAUUCGAAAGUUCUAUCAUCGAAAACGACUUAUAUUCGAAAGUUCUAUCAUUUUUUAGACCUUUUGAUCGCUUAGUAAAUGAUGUCAAAAAAUUAUAAAUUUGGUUUCUAGGUAGUUCCAAUAGGGUAGAUUAUACUUAAUGGAGCCGAUCGUCGAAUCGGAUGUUCUACCAUCGAAAACAACUUACAAGUACGGAGGUCUCCGUACUUUCAAAAGUACAGGAGACGUACUCUAUAUAUAUAUAUAUAUAAAUAUAUAUAUAUAGAAUUAUGCUACUAUACUAUCAAUAGUACCAAGCCCUUGGUACUAUUGAGUUUUCGGCCGUUGGAUAAAAGGAUGUGUGGUUAGGAUGAUAGUGGUCCCCGGUUAAAUUAAUAGUGGUCCCCUAGGGUUGAGUGAGUGGUUUGUUUAAUAUUAUAAUCUAACGGGUGGAAAUGAUCAAAAGGUAGAUCUAACGGUAGAAAACUCAAUAGUACCAAGGGCUUGAUACUAUCAAUAGUAUAGUAGCCGGACUCUAUAUAUAUAUAUAUAUAUAUAGAGUGAGGCUACUAUGCUUCUGGAAGCUACUAUGCUUCUGGAAGUACGGACUACGGAGCCUUCCGUGCUUUCAGGUCAUUUUUCAUGUUGCGACUUUCGAAUCGUCGAUCGGCUCCGUUAAACUUGAUCUAGAGUAUUUGAAGUAUCUAGAAAAUAAAUUUUGUAAUUUUUCGAUAUCAUUUGCCGAGUGAACUAAGGGGCUCAAAAUCAACGGCUGAAAAUAAAAAUCUUACAAAACGUGAUAAUAUGACAUUAAAAUUUUAGAUCAAAGAUAUUGAUCUUGUUUUAUAUAGUAUAAAGAAUUUUCUAUCAAAAUUUCAUGUGAUUUGGAUAUUUCUACACCAUUAAACUUGCAAACGGCUCACCACGGCCUUUAAAAUUAUUGAUUUUGAGCCCCUUCGAUCACUAGACAAAUGGUAUCGAAAAAUCAUAAAAUUUAUUUUUCAAGUACUUCAAAUACUCUAGAUCAAGUUUAACGGAGCCGAUCGACGAUUUGAAAGUCGCAAUAUCGGAAACGACCUGGAAGCAUGGAAGGCUCCGUGCUUCCAGACCCGUGCUCCGUGCUUCCAGAAGCAUAGUAGCUUCACUCUCUCUCUCUCUCUCUCUCUCUCUCUCUCUAUAUAUAUAUAUAUAUAGGAAAGAAGUUCUUUUCUGGACGAUUAAACUCUCAACAAAUUUGUCCUCUUUUUUGAAGCCAACGCCCCACUUUUUAUAGCCAUCUAAUUUAGCUUUUUUUUUUUUUUUAACUGCUGAAAUUUUCCAUUAAAAUCCCAAUGAACUUUCUGGUUUGAAUCUGAACCUCAAACUUCAGUUUGUUGCUAAUAUCUCUCACUAGUUUGUUGCUCAAUCCUCUCCCAUUUGAAUUUCAAAAUUCAAGUUUCGGUUCAGGUUUAGAAAGAGUUCAGUUUAAGUGUGUUUUUGGUUUGGUUAAGCUCAACUUAUUCAAUUGAAACAUAGGACCGAAAUUUAUCAAAAGAUUUACGUAUUGAAAACUAAUUUGAUGCCCGCAUCACCUUACUGGUGAAAUACACUAUCCCACCAACUCAGAGAAGCCGGGACCUUCUAAGAAAUAAAAAUUUUCAAAGCUUUCAUUUACAGUAAAAAAUUCUCAUACUAAAGAAGUUAAUACCAGAUAACUCAUUCCAACCUCCAAACAAAACCAAAACGAUUACCAGCGAGAGAGCGAUGCAACAACUUGCAAAAUAUGCAUCUGUUUGCAAACCUAUAUUUUGCCAGAGGAAUAUGAAACAACUGAGCUAUCCCCUGUUCCUGAAUGAUCAGAUGUAGGUGUACUUUCCAUACAUUUAUCCACCAACCGCCCUUGUGUUGAUCUUUGUGAAGCCGUGGGCAGCUGGCUGGUGUGAUAAAAAUAUAUGCUCAAUAUUUUGCUUGCAGAUUUGAUGAGAACAGAACUAACAGUCUAUUCUCAAAAUCUUAUCAAAAGGAGGAAAGAAAGAUUGAGACAUGAUGCAGGAUAGUACAAAAGGUUAGAAUACAUUUAAAUGAAAUAGCGCGUCUGUAAAAGAUAAAGAUCAAAUCGCUAACUGCAAUAAUCUCACUUAAGCAUCACCUCGACCUCCGAUAAUCUCACUAACAACCUUAUUUUUUGACCAUCGGUUAACGAGAGUUAAGAGCAAACUAAUGGAGUCGAUAUCACAUCACUACUAGCGAUUUCUCACAUAAGUCGCAUGCAUGUGAAUCUCAACAUACGAAGCUUAAGUAAGAAGUUUAGAUUUCUACAAUAUUUUGGUACAUCUCAAGCAGGCAAAUUGGAUUCAACUCACAGCAAGCACUCUAGAAACACUUUCAGUAUAAUAGUAGCAACCUCAGAAAUCAUCU
rnacentral:lncRNA from 1 species